CUGUAUUUUGCAUUAUUUCCUCUCUCUCUCAGAUCCUUGCAACUAGCUCUCUCUCUCUCUCUUUUUCUGGUUCUGCUGCGGCAUAAGAUCUCAGCUUGCAAAUGAACUGAGCAGAUGAGGGAUACUGCACAAGGAAAUGUCUCAUCCAGUGACUCACAAGGGGUGUGAUUUUUAUGCCAAAAUAGCUAAGGGAUUAAGGAAAACCCUGAAGCCCAUCUCAGAUCCCGACGACUUUCAAGAGAACGCAGGGGAAGUCAGCGAUCUGGAGCAUCCAGCAAUUCCCGGGACCAGCGCUGUUGUUUGACGCUGGCUCUGGUACAGAGAUCUGCAGCGAGAUGGUGCGAGGAUGCCUGUUGUGUCCUGGUUGCUCGCAUGCAGGGAGAACUCAGAUCCUCCUGCUUCUGCUGAGAUGGUACCUGUGCGCCAGACAAGACACCCAGCAGCUGCCAAGACCACAGGUGGGGGUCUGCGCUGCGACAGAGCAUCAGCUGUUGGCAGGAGAGUUCAUGCCAGCUCCGUGGUCCCAGUUUUGUA